rnacentral:rRNA from 1 species
GACGAACGCUGGCGGCGUGCCUAAUACAUGCAAGUCGAGCGAAUCUUGAGGUGCUUGCACCUCUUGGUUAGCGGCGGACGGGUGAGUAACACGUGGGCAACCUGCCUGUAAGACUGGGAUAACACCGGGAAACCGGUGCUAAUACCGGAUAAUCCUUUUCCUCUCAUGAGGAAAAGCUGAAAGUCGGUUUCGGCUGACACUUACAGAUGGGCCCGCGGCGCAUUAGCAGUUGGUGAGGUAACGGCUCACCAAGGCGACGAUGCGUAGCCGACCUGAGAGGGUGAUCGGCCACACUGGGACUGAGACACGGCCCAGACUCCUACGGGAGGCAGCAGUAGGGAAUCUUCCGCAAUGGACGAAAGUCUGACGGAGCAACGCCGCGUGAGUGACG